AACUGUGUUCAUAAGGAAGCACAUCUGUCAAUAGGAUGGAGGCGCAAAACGAGCAUCGAGUUAUUGACGCCUUCAUUGACCUUCUGCCGGAAAAUAAGGAAUUUCUGGUCCUUUUGUCAUCCAUGGCUGGUUAUUUUUCUUUUGCUUCUUGGACAUUUUUCGAUGACUUGGGAAUUUACUAUCUACACCUUCCCAAUUACAUACAAAAAGAAAAUGGAGGCCACCUGCACGAAGCAUCUGAAGAAAUGAGCAGGCAUAAGUAGAUGCACAACCACUGCAUUCUACAUUUCAAGAAGAAAACAAGGUCUGCUCACCACCUCAGCAAAAUGGAUGCAUCUAACUAAAUAGCAUCUAGCAUCAACGAGCACACCAGAGGUGGCAACCAAACAGGCCUUGGAUUCAGGAAAAAACAGAAACUGGCAUUCAAUUGAUCGCAACUGGACUGUUCAGGUUGUCUGAGAAGACGUUUCGCCUCUCAUCCGAGCAGGCUUCCUCAAAGACGAGGUGGGACACACGACAGUCAGACUAGAUUUUUUUUUUUUCUUUUGAACAUGUUUAUUGUCACUGUUACAA